CUUUGCUCUACAACAGAGCUUUCGAGUCUUUCUUGGUACUUUCUCAGUCUUGGUGACUUACUUUGAAACAUUUCUAUGACGGAUUGAGGAAUCAAGGUCGUAAAUCAGUCAAACGUGCCUUCCAUUUCCGCGACAGAAGUAAGAACGCAUGGUUGAAUCAGAUUUGUGAAUAUAAGGCCAGGAUGACUUAAAACAGCAACUUUUUGUAAGAAGCAUCCCCUUACAGUUGCUAUGGCUAAAGAAAGAAGUCCAAUUAAGGUUCCAUCUGAAAAUGAAGACUUACCUGACAAAGAAAAUGCUCCAGAUUUUGACAAGGACACUUUACAAGCCACACCUGAUGUUUAUAGGAAUCAGGGUAAUGAGGCCUUCAGGAAAGGAGAUUUCAUCAAUGCUAUUCAUUUUUACACCAAAGGAAUUAAAAUGAACUGCAAUGAGAA